rnacentral:rRNA from 1 species
UACGUAGGCAGCAAGCGUUGUUCGGAAUUACUGGGCGUAAAGGGUGUGUAGGCGGUGCUCCAAGUCUGGUGUGAAAUCUCCCGGCUUAACUGGGAGGGUGCGCCGGAAACUGGAGUGCUAGAGGGUGGGAGAGGUAAGCGGAAUUCCUGGUGUAGCGGUGAAAUGCGUAGAUAUCAGGAGGAACACCUGUGGUGUAGACAGCUUACUGGACCACUUCUGACGCUGAGACACGAAAGCGUGGGUAGCAAACAGG